rnacentral:rRNA from 1 species
GUGGGGAAUCUUAGACAAUGGGGGCAACCCUGAUCUAGCCAUGCCGCGUGAGUGAUGAAGGCCUUAGGGUCGUAAAGCUCUUUCGCUGGGGAAGAUAAUGACGGUACCCAGUAAAGAAACCCCGGCUAACUCCGUGCCAGCAGCCGCGGUAAUACGGAGGGGGUUAGCGUUGUUCGGAAUUACUGGGCGUAAAGCGCGCGUAGGCGGAUUGGAAAGUUGGGGGUGAAAUCCCGGGGCUCAACCCUGGAAUGGCCUUCAAAACUCCCAGUCUUGAGGUCGAGAGAGGUGAGUGGAAUUCCGAGUGUAGAGGUGAAAUUCGUAGAUAUUAGGAAGAACACCAGUGGCGAAGGCGGCUCACUGGUCCGGUACUGACGCUGAGGUGCGAAAGCGUGGGGAGCAAACAGGAUUAGAAACCCCGGUAGUCC